rnacentral:rRNA from 1 species
CGAAGGGGAGGCUAGCGUUGUUCGGAAUUACUGGGCGUAAAGCGUGCGCAGGCGGCUUCUCAAGUCAGGGGUGAAAGCCCAGAGCUCAACUCUGGAAUUGCCUUUGAGACUGAGAGGCUUGAGUACGGGAGAGGUGAGUGGAAUUCCCAGUGAUAGAGGUGAAAUUCGUAGAUAUUGGGAAGAACACCGGUGGCGAAGGCGGCGUCACUGGCC